rnacentral:lncRNA from 1 species
GUGUUUAUUCCGCGGUUUCCCCGCGGCUGCCCCCGGGAGACCGAAGAGGUGGCUGGGGCAGGCCGAAAGCAGAGGAAAGUCUGAUUGGCACCGGCUCCCAUUCCGGCUCCAGCCUCCAAUCCGACCCCCAUUUCGGCUGCAGCCUCGGACCUAGCUCCGGCCCUCGGUCUAUCCGGUUGCAUCCUCCCUCCCUGUUCCGGAUCUUAUCUUGCGCCAGCGCCUACUCCAGGAUCCCGUAGCCAGACCUCAAGCCAUGGCUGGUCCCUUCUCCCGUCUGCUGUCCGCCCGCCCGGGACUCAGGCUCCUGGCUUUGGCCGGAGCGGGGUCUCUAGCCGCUGGGUUUCUGCUCCGACCGGAACCUGUACGAGCUGCCAGUGAACGACGGAGGCUGUAUCCCCCGAGCCAGACAUGGCCAACUGGACAGCUCCCAGGUAACUGCACUAGGUCUAGGCGUCUGUGCCCUCCCUCCAUGGUUACUGGGUACCCCCUCCCCAGCGCUGAGUACCCAGACCUCCGAAAGCACAACAACUGCAUGGCCAGUC